rnacentral:rRNA from 1 species
AACGAACGCUGGCGGCAUGCCUAACACAUGCAAGUCGAACGAGACCUUCGGUUCUAGUGGCGCACGGGUGCGUAACGCGUGGGAACCUGCCCUUAGGUUCGGAAUAACUCCCCGAAAGGGGUGCUAAUACCGGAUAAUGUCUUCGGACCAAAGAUUUAUCGCCUUUGGAUGGGCCGGCGUUGGAUUAGCUAGUUGGUAGGGUAAAAGCCUACCAAGGCGACGAUCCAUAGCUGGUCUGAGAGGAUGAUCAGCCACACUGGGACUGAGACACGGCCCAGACUCCUACGGGAGGCAGCAGUGGGGAAUAUUGGACAAUGGGCGAAAGCCUGAUACAGCAAUGCCGCGUGAGUGAUGAAGGCCUUAGGGUUGUAAAGCUCUUUUAACCGGGAUGAUAAUGACAGUACCGGGAGAAUAAGCGCCGGCUAACUCCGUG